rnacentral:rRNA from 1 species
UACGUAGGGGGGCUAGCGUUGUCCGGAUUUAUUGGGCGUAAAGAGCGUGUAGGCGGCCAGGUAGGUCCGUUGUGAAAACUCGAGGCUCAACCUCGAGACGUCGGCGGAAACCCUCUGGCUAGAGUCCGGAAGAGGAGAGUGGAAUUCCUGGUGUAGCGGUGAAAUGCGCAGAUAUCAGGAAGAACACCCGUGGCGAAGGCGGCUCUCUGGGACGGUACUGACGCUGAGACGCGAAAGCGUGGGGAGCAAACAGG